ensembl:lncRNA
AUGCGUGAGGGAACAAACAAGAAGAGAACAAUGGAGCGCCACAUUUGGAUGAUUACAGAUGAGACUUUAUGUACUGCAGACGAUGAAUCAAGUAACAAACCAAUGGAUGAGGACAGCAGGUUUUCUGUGCCAGCCGUGGUAAAUACAGGAACAUCCUUCAUGAAGAUGUGUGAGAGAAGCUUGUAUUUUUUACUGACUUUCCUGCCUCUUUGGAACAUUUCUGUUCACACAGACUGUGGAGAGAUUGUUUGCAGCUUCAUGACAUUCGAAGUUUACUGCCGAUGGAGAGCUUCUGGGACAUUGAAAGACAGCACUUCCCAGCAAGUUCAUUUGGAGUUAUUUUUUUUAUUAUUAAUUAAUUAAUUUAUUUAGGCAAACUUACAUUCAAUAAUGCUGGAGUAAGAUUUUAGAAGAAAACUUUCAGUCCUGUUUAAAGGGGUCCUAUUAUGCUUUUUCACUUUUUCAACUCUAGUUAGUCUGUAAUGUUGCUGUUUGAGCAUAAAAAAAGAUCUGCAAAGUUACAAAGCUCAAAGUUCACUUCAAAAGGAGAUAUUUUAUUUAACAGAAAUCACUUUUUAAAAACUACAACAAACAACUUGUUUGGACUACAAUGCAUAUUGUCUGGGAUUUGUGAUAUCACAAAGAUCCACGAAUGGGAUGAGACCUGUUUGAGCUGCACGAGAGAAGGCAAUGAGUGUUAUCACUUUGUCGGAGACAUGCUAGCUUUCCCAAGACAGACGAACUUAAGAGUGGUUACAAUCAUCCGGGUUUAAAUCAGGCUCAAAUUGAUUUGAUUUUGAAGCAAUAUUUACAUUGAAGCUGGCAGGUGGCUAUGGUAAGGAGUGUGACAUUUCCCGACCAGGCGCUGAGUGCUGCCAGUCACAACACACCCUGGCCAAGCUAAACAAUCACAGCACAUUUUGUGUUUCAGAAGGCAGGCCUUCAUUUGAUGCAGGAACUAUUCCAGCCGUUCAUGCCAGACUGGGGGGAGAGAUGUUGUAAUGAUGUAAAAUAUAUUAAAAAUAAUGUGCACUAUUCCAGCCGUUCAUGCCAGACUGGGGGGAGAGGUGUUGUAAUGAUGUAAAAUAUAUUAAAAAUAAUGUGUUUUUCGAACAACCUAGUAUGAGAGUCUGUUCCAGUACACCCCCAAAACAAAAUCAAGACCUUGUAAAAGAACAUAAUAGGUCUCCUUUAAUGUUGGUGCUAGUAAAGGUUUGAGAACUAAGGGCCUGGUUUCACAGACAGGGCUUAGACUUAGCCAGGAUCAUAGUUCAAUAAGGACAUUUAAGUCAUUUUUAUUAACAUGCCUUAGAAAAACAUUACCGGUGUGCAUCUUGAGACAAAAAAAAAGGCACUGGUAUUUUUAAAGAUCAGUUAGUGCAAUUUUCUUUCAAUUGAAACAGCCCAGAAUUACAUUUUAGUCCGGGGCUGGUCUUAAGCCUUGUCUGUGAAACCAAGGGUAUAAGUAAUACAGUUUGGUAAUGUUUUACAAUAAGGUGUCGUUUGUUGUACAUGGAAUGAUAAUUAUUUUUAUUUUUUUUGUAUUAAGAGUGUGUGUGUUUGUGCGUAAGUAAUCCUAUACGUUAUGGGGACCAAAUUACUCCACAAGGAUAGUAAUACCAGUAAAUUUUGACCUUGUGGACAUUUUGAGGUCCCCAGUGAGGAAACAGGCCUAUACAUCUUACAGAAUUAUGUUUUCUCUGAUGGCAAGAUUAGGUACUUUUGUAUGUAAGUGAUUUUGCAUUGUUCUCCAGACUCUUUCUAAUAAGUGAGUUGAAGUUUUGUAACUGUGUAUAGUGUUGGGUUUUUACACAAAAACACAAAAACUGUUUUUGUGUAUUUGUUUUAGAGAUUGUCUUCUCAAUAAAUGCAGACGGUUUUCCA